GACGAACGCUGGCGGCGUGCCUAAUACAUGCAAGUAGAACGCACAGUUUAUACCGUAGCUUGCUACACCAUAGACUGUGAGUUGCGAACGGGUGAGUAACGCGUAGGUAACCUGCCUGGUAGCGGGGGAUAACUAUUGGAAACGAUAGCUAAUACCGCAUAAUAUUGAUUAUUGCAUGAUAAUUGAUUGAAAGAUGCUAUUGCAUCACUACCAGAUGGACCUGCGUUGUAUUAGCUAGUAGGUGAGGUAACGGCUCACCUAGGCGACGAUACAUAGCCGACCUGAGAGGGUGAUCGGCCACACUGGGACUGAGACACGGCCCAGACUCCUACGGGAGGCAGCAGUAGGGAAUCUUCGGCAAUGGACGAAAGUCUGACCGAGCAACGCCGCGUGAGUGAAGAAGGUUUUCGGAUCGUAAAGCUCUGUUGUAAGAGAAGAACGUGUGUGAGAGUGGAAAGUUCACACUGUGACGGUAUCUUACCAGAAAGGGACGGCUAACUACGUG
rnacentral:rRNA from 1 species